rnacentral:rRNA from 1 species
UACAGAGGGUGCGAGCGUUAAUCGGAAUUACUGGGCGUAAAGCGUGCGUAGACGGUUAUUUAAGUCGGGUGUGAAAGCCCCGGGCUCAACCUGGGAAUUGCAUUCGAGACUGAAUAGCUAGGGUACGGUAGAGGGAAGCGGAAUUUCCGGUGUAGCGGUGAAAUGCGUAGAUAUCGGGAGGAACACCAGUGGCGAAGGCGGGUCUCUGGACAGUUCCUGACGCUGAGGCACGAAGGUCAGGGGAGCAAACGGG